rnacentral:rRNA from 1 species
AUGGCACAGAAACCCAGAAAAAAGACCCUUCAACUGAAGGACAUGUCUGGUUGCAGUGUGGAAAUAACCUUAUGGGGAAAUGUCUGUAAUGCUGAAGGUCAGCUGCUGCACUCGAUGUGCAUUUCUGGUACUAAUCCUAUACUUGCCUUGAAAGGUGGCCGCAUAUGUGAAUUCAACGGCAAAUUUGUGGACACAAUCAACUCAAGCUUGUUAAAAAUAAAUCCAGACUUGCCUGAUGCAGAAAAGCUGAUGCAGUGGUACAUAACUGAAGGGAAAUUAGCAGUUUGCACUUCUUUAUCUCAGGAAAUUUCAAGCAUGGAAAAGAUGUAUUUCCGAAAAACAGUUGCGCAGAUCAAGGAUGAGAAUAUGGGGCGAUCAGAUCAGCCAGAUUGGGUCACUGUUGAAGCUACAAUUUCACACAUCAACACUGAGAAAUUUUCUUAUCCAGCUUGCACAAGGGAGGUUAAUGGUAAGCGCUGCAACAGAAAGGUAACAAAUAAUGGUGAUGGGAUGUGGCAUUGCCCCAAAUGCCAGCAGAGCUCUCAAAAUUGUGAGUAUCGAUACUUGUUUCAGUGUAAGAUCCAGGACCACACUGGGACUACCAAUGCUACUGCAUUCCAAGAAGCUGGCCAGGAAAUAAUUGGCCUCUCGGCGGAAGAGCUUGUCAUGAUAAAAAAUGAGGAUCUAGAUGACGCACGAUUUGCAGAAAUAAUACAUGGGGCCUGUUAUUAG